rnacentral:ribozyme from 1 species
CUGCAAGAAAGAAAGAAAGCAGAGAAAGAAAGGAAAGACUUUCCCACAACUGAAGAAUAAAUUUCUAUUUGUGAUUCUUUUCUUUCUUUUUUUUUUUAAUAUAAAUGUUUUUUUUAAAGAUAUGUAUAAAAGAAAAGAAAAGAAAACGAGAGGAGAGGAGAGGAGAGGAAA